CCGGCGACCGGCGGACGGGUGCGUAACGCGUAUGUAACCUACCUUUGACAGGGGGAUAACAUCGAGAAAUUGGCACUAAUACCCCAUAACAUCACCGGAGGCAUCUUCGGUGGUUGAAAACUCAGGUGGUCAGAGAUGGACAUGCGUUGUAUUAGCUAGUUGGUGAGGUAACGGCUCGCCAAGGCGACGAUACAUAGGGGGACUGAGAGGUCAACCCCCCACAUUGGUACUGAGACACGGACCAAACUCCUACGGAAGGCAGCAG
rnacentral:rRNA from 1 species